GAUGAACGCUGGCGGCGUGCCUAACACAUGCAAGUCGAACGGGAUGCGUAUUGGAAAGCUUCGGCCGGAAGAUACGUUAUCUAGUGGCGGACGGGUGAGUAACACGUGGGUAACCUGCCUUAUGGAGGGGGAUAACAGAGAGAAAUCACUGCUAAUACCGCAUAAGCACACAGUACCGCAUGGUACAGGGUGAAAAGAUUUAUCACCAUAAGAUGGACCCGCGUCUGAUUAGCCAGUUGGCAGGGUAAAAGCCUACCAAAGCAACGAUCAGUAGCCGAUCUGAGAGGAUGACCGGCCACAUUGGGACUGAGACACGGCCCAAACUCCUACGGGAGGCAGCAGUGGGGAAUAUUGCACAAUGGGGGAAACCCUGAUGCAGCGACGCCGCGUGAGUGAAGAAGUAUUUCGGUAUGUAAAGCUCUAUCAGCAGGGAAGAUAAUGACAGUACCUGACUAAGAAGCCCCGGCUAACUACGUGCCAGCAGCCGCGGUAAUACGUAGGGGGCAAGCGUUAUCCGGAUUUACUGGGUGUAAAGGGAGCGUAGACGGAGUGGCAAGUCUGAAGUGAAAACCCUGGGCUUAACCUGGGGACUGCUUUGGAAACUGUUAAUCUAGAGUGUUGGAGAGGUAAGUGGAAUUCCUGGUGUAGCGGUGAAAUGCGUAGAUAUCAGGAAGAACACCGGAGGCGAAGGCGGCUUACUGGACAAUAACUGACGUUGAGGCUCGAAAGCGUGGGGAUCAAACAGG
rnacentral:rRNA from 1 species